CCCGAGGCCCGGCGGUGCGGGGCGCCGGGAGGAGGCGCCUGCUGCUAACAAAAGUCGGCGAUCGGCGGUUGUGCCCGGUCUCCCUGCCCGGCAACAAGUGGCUGGAGGGGCUGCCCGAGCUGAGAGGAGGGUGGGAAGGAAGGAAGGGAGGAAAAAGAAGAAGAAAGAAGAAGAAGAGAAGCUAAGCCCGCGCGCUGUGCGGCGGGUCCCGUGGAUUACAACUGGGGCAGGGAAGGCGCCUUCGCCUCGAGAUGGUGGGCGGCGGGGAGCGGCGGUGAGCAUGAAGGCGGCAGGAUGGGCGCCAGCAACGGCAAGCAGUACGGCAGCGAGGGCAAAGGCAGCUCAAGCAUCUCAUCCGACGUGAGUUCAAGUACAGAUCACACGCCCACCAAAGCCCAGAAGAAUGCAGCUACCAGUGAAGGUAGGCAUCUGGUAUUCAUUACUCAGGCCGGGCCCCCCAGCAUAAUCCUAGCUAUUUUCAGAAAAGGAACCUCUCCUCCUCCUAGUUCCUUCUGUGUACGGUGCUAUUAGCAUACUAGAAAUGAAAAAACAGUUUUUCUUCUUGUGCGGAGUUUCUGCUUCUGCUUGCCGUAUUUUCUGGUUUAAGCUCGUGACAAAGGAUUUAAGGUACCUCUGCAGAAUAAAAGUGUGGAGAGUUUUGAAUAAUGUUGCAUGUUAUUACUUCAGUGAAAACUUUUUAUACUUGAGAUGUGAUCUGAUUUUGAACUUAUUUCUGAAGCAUAUACCUGAUGGAAGCUUGUUUUGGCACGUGUUCUAGGUCAAAACUCAACCUCUUAUUUUCAUAUUAAGAGCAUCAUGAAAUGUGAGUUGUUUCUACUGAAUUUUCAAGUGUGUCUAUAGAUAGGUAGAGCUGAGAGGAUUUAAUUAGAUUGAUGCAUCUCACCUGUAGUUACUAGGCUACCACCUGGGAGUAGAAUUUUGAUGUCUAGGGGAAGGAGAGGUUUGGUAUGUCAGUAGUAACGUAACAUUGCUCUAACUGGCUCAUGAACAGAGAAAUGUUGAUCCUUUCCUGCUGCCUUACUACAUGUGAGUAGGUGUGCUUUGCUAAAUGGAAGUACGUUGGCCCUAGUUUUUACUAGACUGUCUUCACAGGCUGAGAGGAAAUCGUUAAACCUGUAUGUAGUUUAGUGAUGUAAGCUGAAAGUUUUUUUUUUAAAUGAUACAUUUAUAGACCUUAACCAGAAUUUCUACUCAGUCAAAGUACGUCAGUUGUACUUGGUAAUUAUCAAACAAUACAUUUGACUUCUUUCACUUCUACCAUUACAAAUUAAGUUAUAAGCUCUGGCUGCUUUCGGUCUGGCUUUGUUUCUUAUUGUUAGAAGAAACCAUAGGGUUUGAAUUGUUCUCGUUUGGCAAGUCUAGCUAUGACUGUAGAAUCUAAACAGUAAAAGGAGUUCAUGUAAGUAAUAAAUGACCAUAUAAAUCAUGAGAGUUUAUUGUUAGGCGAGCACAAUCCCCUAUCAAGAAUGAAGAUCUGGCACCUGUGAAUCAUAUGAGAUUCUGGUUUAGAAUCUCUGCUUUUUAGUCUGAACAAUAAAUCUAACGAUAAAUGAAUAUACAGUUAAUAAAGUUAAGUUGAAUAGUAGACUUCAUGUUUCUCUAAGCUUUAGUCGGCAAGUUUUGAGGUGCAUGAAGGAGAUGAAUUGCCAAGAUGCCAAGUAAAUUUAGGAAAUGUAUAAAAACAUUUUAACUUUUCUGUAUGACAGCCAAGAAAAAAAGCACAAAGGAGUAGUGGAAACUCUGAAGUCAGUCCUUAACAAUUGCUUUAACUUUCUGUUUUGCUUCAAUCAGUAAAACAUGUCUUUUCCCCUUAUUUUCAAACAGAUAACGCAAAAUAAUUCUUUAUUAAUCUCUAAGAUUUAUGUUGUUAAUCUAGCCUAUUGUAGAGCCAGUGAAUACCAGUGUAGAUCGUGGAAUCUUUACCACAGUUUUGCAGCUGUUCAGUUCAUUAGUGAGGGAGGUUUAAAUACGGGCCAACAGAUGCUGUAGUAAAGAUGUUUUCUGAGCUCUUGUGCAGAUACAGAGUUCACAACAGUAGAGUUGUUACGUUUUCCACUCUUGGAGACUAUUUCAGGUAUGAGCCUACACCCCUUACAGAAGGGUGAAAAUAGGAAGGUGAGUAGAUGAUGUUUAUUUUAAUAGCAGCAGUGGUAGUCCAUCCUUCUAUCUGUGCUGCUGUUGCUUUGCUACCAAGUUUUUCUGCUGAGCAGUUAAUAUGGAUCAAUUAAAUACGGGUUGUAUUAAUAUGGAUUGCUGUAUAAUCUGUCAGAUACUUUAAAUGACAUAACCAGGGAGUGUGAGGGUUUUAUGAAGGCAAGUGAGAGCAGAGAAGUGGACGUGGUGUUGAAGGGGAAAAAAAAAACCACAGGGUCCUGUACAAACCGGUACUAUUACAGGAAGGCCUGUUUUUCAACCAGUUUGUAUGUGGGUUUUUGUUCAUUUGUUUUGUUCUUAACUAAUGAUGCCUCUUUCCCCCAUGGAUAGUAGACUUACCUUGUAGGAGGAUUCAAAUGAAGAGAAGGAAUCAUAUGUUCUGCAAGAUGAGAGGAGUUCUGCACUUAAAGGACUGAAUGCUUUUAUACAGUUCAGUUACAGAGUAGUGUCUAGGGACCAGCUAAGAACAAGAGCUUGAUUGUGUUAGGCACUAUAUAAGCGGUUGCACUCAUGUCUUUUCAUUGGGGUGUUUAAAUAACUUUUUAUAACUGUUUAGUUAAAUUUACCUUUAUAGUACUCUAUCCUCUAGUGUUUGCUUGUCGUGAUAUGGCAGUACCUGCCCACCCCGGAGACUGCUAAGUGUAUCUUGCUCUUCAACAUGAGGCUAGAGGUGGGGCAAACACUCAAAUUCUGUCCUUUGCUUUAACCCCCUGUUGUAAAGUCAUAGCACUGCAUACUGUCUUGUGAACGUGUCAUGAUGUGUAGUGAGAUGUUUGUCCUAGGUCUGUAGUAGAAUGAGAUAUGAAAGGUUUCUGGUCAACUUUUCCUCACCUUCAUUGGCAUGGGAAAUAACUCUUAAAGCAAAGUUAGUUUCAUUACAUCCUUUGAAUUUCUGGUGAUGGCUGAGUUCUUGGGUGCCCAGCUCUGUGAAAAGUAUAGAAUUUUUAUGCAAGGCUGAAGGUCUUUCUUGUCUCCUGCUUUCCAGCUCUGCAAACAGACCUAACUUUCUCCAGUUCUGCACAGCAUCUUUUCUGUUUCUUUAAGACAGUUGACAAAACAUUUAUUGAAGUUGAAUCCCUGAGAAGCCAUGGAAAAACUAGGAAGGAAAUCAUAAGACCAGUUCAUGCAGCUCUUCAGUACUUUACGUUAAAGAAGCAGUCAUGUAAAAUACUUGCAGGCAUGUAUAGAUCACCAAGGAAUGCAAAAAGAUGCAGGGCAGGACUCUUCCUUGAAAGAGGAAACUACCUCAGGAACUCCCUGGCAGCAGGUCUUAUCUUGCUAUUAGUUUGAGCAAUCAAAGGAACUCCAUAUUUGAUCUUCUGUAUUCAUUCUAUUUGUGAAUUUUCAGUCCUGUGAUGUUUCUGUAGAGGGUGAGUUCAAGAGAUGAGCAACUACCUGCUUGAAAUAGCCUGUGUGGUGUUCCAGUCCUAGAUAUGCUGUUGAAGUGACAGCAGUUAAAUCUCUUGAUGGGGAGGGGAGAUGUGGUUAUUGCCUAAAUACAGUGCUGCAGUGCCCUCCUUCACACUGUAGAUUGUGAAUAUCUGUAGAGUUGUGGGAGAUGAUGUUUCAAAGAGACAAGAUGUUUAUAGUGCUAUCAAAUCUUCCUGGGUGAACUGCACAGCAUCUACCAGUGAACAGUAGACAGUACUACUGACAGAUCUCUCGCCUUCCUAAACUCAGACUUGAGGUAACAGCGAUGCAUUGCUCUGAUGUGCAGCGAUGAGGCUGCACUGGUACAGAAACUGAAGUUCUGUCUCUUGCUGAAGUUGCACUCACUGUAGCUUUUACUUUCUGUAAUGCAGUAAAGGGCAGGAGACAAAAAACAGAUGUCAGUGCCUAUCUGUGUAAAUGACUGUAUGUGCUAUAAGUACAGUCUGGCUACAACUUGGCUCAGAAGAAAGCACGGUGAACUGUGGAUGUGCAUGAACUUUGCCUCUGCUCUGUCUCCUCUUCUGAGGAUGCUGUUUUCUUUAGCUUUGAAAUACACUACAUUUUACCUCUUUUCCAGUCUCAGACAUUGUCUGCAAUCCUUUACCCCAUCAAUCACUUAGAGUUAGAAACUUGAGAACACGUGAGUUUUUGCUACCCCCCAUUGCUGUUCUGGCAGGUGAAAGACUAAAUGGAUUUUUGUGGGCUGUUUAAAUGCAAUUUGCUAGACACAGCCUCAGCUGGGAUAUUAUUGUUUAAAGCUUGAUUUAGAAGACUAGACUGAAUGUUUUUGUAUGGGCUUACCUUGGUUAGGGAGCUUUCUUCUAACACUUACCUGCAGAGCAUGGAAUGUUAUGUCCAGGCUGGAUGCUUCGUAUUAACUUGACAGUUUUUCAAAUAAAAAAUCAAUACUGUUUGCACUUCAUGUGUAGAUGGCUCUUAAAUGGUAAUCCAGAGGCUGCUUUAAAUUGAGAGCUCGUGCAUGAGCUCCAUGUAUGAGUUCUAAUUUAUUUCUCAGUUUCUAUAAAAUCAAAAUGAAGUGUUAGGCCUGAAACAAAAAUACUGUUUUAGCAGUAGGGUCAAGUGCUGAAAUACCUUUGAAUGUAUCCUGUUAAUGUUUAUUUUAAAUUCUGUGGAAAUACAGUGAAGUCAGUUGCUGUAUUCUGCAGAAAUUAAAACUAUAUCUGCUUUCAUAGAUGCUGACUUUUAGAGACCUUGAAUUUUUUUCCCUUCAGUAAUAUCCUUAGAACUCCAGAGUCUGUCUUCACUGCAUGAUGUUCACAUACCUUAAACGAACUUGAAAAUGACUCAAUUUAGAAAACAGACAAAUUAAGAGGAUGCAGCUUUUUGCACGCUAGCAUUGCCUUUUAUGCUUAGUGUGGAGACCAAAUGCAUUUGUUUUGUCAGUGCAUCUCAGCAGAAGAGGUAUUACAUUCAAAGUUUAGAUCUUUGUUUCAUACAUGCAAGGAAGAUGCCAAGUCACAGUUCUGGUAGUUGUAUCCUCCUUUCUGUUUUAUUGGAGCUUUUCAGCAGUUCUGAGAGAAACAGCUUCAGUAAUGUGAUGGGAGCAACCACAUCUAUUAGGAACCAUUCACUUCAUUAAAUCACAUUUGGGUGAAAAUGUAGCAUUUCACAAAUAUGUAAUGUGUUAAUUACUCAUGUAAGAGUGUUACUGUAUACCCUGUGUAAGAUGACAUCUGGCUAAGAUCAAUCAAGUAAUGUUACCGUGAUCCUUGGCAUCCUUUUCUGGUGAGUCCCUGAUAACGAAACUUAAAUGGCUGGAAUGUUGGUGAAUCCCAGUCUGUGUUAGGGAAAUCCUGCUAUCUGUCCUCUUCCCUUGACAUCUAGUAAGUUCCAGAGGAAGGUGUGGCUGUGAAUGAGGAUCUACUCUUUUCCCUGCAGUGGUUUUCAUUCUGACACGUCUACAAUUGCUACAGUCCUUCAAAAAUAAAUAUAUACUGGAUAGAGUAUAUAUUGCCUAGAGUUCCAGCAAGCUGCAAGUCUGACUGAAAGCUCUGAAAUUCAUAGGACUUCUACUGUUCUACAGGUGCUGAUUCAAGUUUUCAUCUAAUUGCAGAAAUAGCAGGUACCUAAGUAUCUGGAACUGGAUUUAUAUUCAGUUUAACAAGACAAAGAGUGUAGCUGGAUAAGCUUUUUCAAGAAAAGUUAUCUUCUAUUCAUCUAGAAGUAGUAGAAGUGCUUCAUAUGUUUGCUGUACUCUUCAGUUGAUUCAUUUCUUAAGAAAAUAACUUUCAAGUGACUUUCAGAAGUGACCAGCAUUUGACUACUGCUACUACAUCUCUUUAUUCUACAGGCUGUAAGUGAAUUAAUGCGUGAUUAAUGCUAAGUUGAGGAAAGUAGGAACAGGGAAUAUUCAGUUGUAUCACUUCUGCUUUGAGACCUAAAAUAUCAGUCAUUGUGGAGGACUGUAGAGAAUAAUGGAAAAAGCAGCUGCCUUUCAAACAAUUUUUUAGGAUCUGUGGAAAGACAGAUUGAGCUUUAUCGAUAUGUGAAAACUCUCAAAGCAGUAGUUUCACACCCUUACUUAUUUUAUCAAAGAAUUAUAUAAAUUUUUGUCCCAGGCUUUCAUACUCAGAAGUGUAAGAAAUUAGGAAUUAAUUUUUUUUUUAAUUUUCCUGAAGAACUUUAUAGAACCUUCGUUUCCUGAGUUGUCUGAGCUCUGUAUUAGAAAGGCCCCGUCAGUGCUCUUUGUGAUCGUAUAUUAAGUGACGUUUGUUGAACACAAAAAGUUCCAUUUGGGAUAUAUGUCUUUCAUUUCAACUUACCAAUGAGUGAAAAAAAAGUGAGAUGAAAUACACACUGUAGGGUCUUGUCAGGGAAGAUGUCAUGCUGUUAAUUUCUCCUGGCUUCAUAAUCACAUUCUUUAAGAAGGCUGGGUGUCUCUGUAUCUCCAAACAGCUCUUAAUUUAUUUGAUGAGUUUAAGGAGAUCUUUGUGUUGUACUCAAUGGACAUCGUAAUUUAAUCUUUCCAAAUUUUUAUGUCUUUUGAUAUUGAAUCUUUUGAUAUUUAAGUAGUUUCAUGAAGGAGAGGCAUCCAAGUUUGAAAAUUUGGGUAAGUCCUGAUGUUAUUUCAGAGAGAGAGAAAAGUCCCAGAGAACCAGUUUAUGAAUAGGCAAUUCUUCUGUGUACUGUGUUUCGCGGUAUAUGAUAGAUAGCAUUGUUUAACAUAGUGGAGUUCCAGUGAAGCUUCUGAAUGGCUUGUACAUCUUCUCUGGACCUGGAAAUAAUUGUGUGUUGUGAAAAAAAUUGUUGAAAAGAGACGCUGUUUUCCAACCUAGUUUUUCUACUGUCCUGUUGGCAAGAAGAGCUCUUCUGAUUAAUUCCUGUGUCUGAUACUUGUUAAAUAAUCUUUUGCCACUUCAGUUCUUUAAUAUUUUUCCUUUCAUUUUGUCUUUAACAUUAGACGCUUACUAAUUCAGUACUGGAACUGAGAACUUACAUCUGUUCUCUCUGGAUGCAUGUAAGCGUAUGCGUAAUUCCUAAUUCAUGAUGGCAGUUCUCUGCCUGUUUAUCUCUGUCCUCACGUCUUUGCAGUGUUUUUGGGAGUUCAGGCUCUUGGUUCUCAUGUUGAAGUACUGGAAGGAGUCUUUCUGUGCAACAAGCCAUGCCUGAAUUUGAUAUGAAUUCUUGAAUUUGCCCCUACUUAUUUGGAUCUGGGCUGCAGUUCAGUUGGCUUUGAGUGAACUGUGGCUGUUUUCAGUUGGUAAUGAAACUAGAGACCAGGUAAGCUUCCUAGGGUUUUGUGUUACUUUUCUAACCAUGAAGUUUUCUAGAAAAGUGAAAUGUUACAUUACUCAGUGUGCCAAAAUAGAAUCAUUUGAGGCCAAAAAAAUAGGGGAGGAAUAAGGGGGUGGGAGGCGUGACGGUUAAUAAAUCCAAAUCUAUAAACACUUUGGCAGAAUAAACAGAGCUCACUAUUUAAAUUCCUCCAACCAACAUAUCUGAAUGCAUACGCAAAUAUAAUCACCUCAAGCAGUAUGUGGAGGUACAGAGUAGUAUAGAGGCUUGUUGUUAGCCCUUAUUUUCUGUGUUUAACCACAUCUUAUUAUGCUUUUGCUAUCUAAUAGGCAGUGUUCCUGCAUAGCUGUUCUGCUAAUUGUAACAAUACCACUGCAAUCGACAUUUAAAUCAGAGUUCAAACACAAGUCAAAAGUGGUUGGGAUGUUGGCUAGGUUAAGACUGCAGAUUGAAACCUUACAUUAUUCUGGCUAAUUUGUACUGAAAUGGUAUAGCCAAAUGCUUAAAACUUGCCCCAGAAAUACUAGGAACAAAUUGGAAAGGUGCAUAAAACUGCAGUCGUACUUGAUCUGCUGCCUGAAAUGUGAGGUCUACCAGAGCAAAUGUACUUACAGUAUAGUUAGAGAUGACCUCGAUUUAAAAACCUAGUGUUAGCUUUUCCAACAUAAGAUGUGAUGCUUGGUAGGAGUGAUUAUGGUCUACUCAGUUAUCUGUAAAUCUGAUUUUAAGAAAUGUGAAGUCCCAGACAUAAUUCUUUCUGUAAAGUUCUGUACCAACCCACUUGUAUACUGCUAUCACAGGGAGUUUUUGACCCUCAGCUGUUCUUUGUUGCUGCCUGUGCUAUAAGUACUUUCCUUCUCAGAAAAGUGAAGUCAUCUUGAGGCACUUGAUGACUUCCCAACAUGUGCUAGUCUAAAAAAAUAUGUAUUUUUAAUUGUUAGACUGUCUGAACUGUUUCAAGAAUAUAUACAACUUAAUAAUGUAUAUUUAAAAAUGUAGGGCUUAUCUGUUUUCAAGAAUUUAUGAGCUGACACUAGGAAACUGCUUCAGAUUAACUCUCGAACUUGCCAUUCCAAUUUUAUUUCAUUCUUUUGGUCAAGUUUUUGCCUUUAACUUGACAAUCCCUGUUAAAGUGCUGAACCAUAGUUUAAAUUUAUGACACAGAAUAUCCUACUUGUGUUUUCCUCUAUCAUUUAUUAUCGUCAAAUUGUCAAAUGGCUGUAUUUAUCUUAAGAAUGAUAUUGCCAACAGUGCUAAACCUAGCUGUAGACUUGAGAAAUAUUUGCUUUAUGUUGCCGAUUGCUCUUUUCAUCUGUUGCUGCUGUACCAUAGUGCCUGUUAUGGUGUUUUUCUCACGUUACUGAAGUUUGGCAUCAUCUUAUUUCUGCCAGCAUUCUUCAGGUUUUGAAGUAUGCACUGAGGUUGGCUGAUGAAAAUGGCAGUUCAAGAGUAGACAGUGCUAAUUCUUAUUUCUUGUUAAGAUAUCUUCUGACUGGUGAAUCAUCAUAGGUUUAGGUGAUUAUAGUAGAUUAGGUAUAAGCAGAAUUUAUGAGUAUAACCUGGUGAUUAGCAGUUUACAUUUUCCUUGAAUCUUAAUCAUCCACUGUUCAACAUUUAACUGGUGUUGCGAUGGUGUUCCUGUUGCAUGUUCAGUAACCAUCCAUCUUGAUAUUUCUUAUGUUUAAGGCUUUUUCUUGUUUUUAAAUGCGAAUGUGGGUUGUGAGUUGCAGCCCCUUGAAAGUCAAGGUACAUUUCCCAUUUUGAUGGUUUGAAUAAAGAUUUCUAACACAGCACAGCAAGGACCUGUGGCAGCUGAUCAACUAUGCUGAAAAAGGGGAGGUUUCUUCUCACCUACUCUGUUGGCAUCUAUUGUGUACAUAAAGUCUUGCCAGAAGGCAGGCAAGAUUUUGAUGGAGAUGCAUUGUAAAUACUCAUUUGUAAGAUCUGGCAAUCCAUUUAGAUCAACUAGUUUUCAGCUAUCCCCUGGCAAAGUGAAAGUAUGGGGAUUUCUCAUCUAGCCUAUUUGUAUCCUGUUCAUGCUGCCUUGCAGAUGUGAAUGCAUGAUUGAGAUGAAGCUUGAUUGCUUUACUGAACGACUGAAACUUGUGCUGCUUGCAGUGACUUGGAUUGGAUAAACCAUAAAUAUUCAUUGUAAAUUUUCACUAGACUUAUGAUAAUUAAACUUCAGCUUUUACCAGUGAUAAUUUAAUCUACAGCUCUUUUUUUGUUUUGUUUUCCCUAAAGUGAAACCCGUUUUCAUCUUGUGUAUAAAAGUGAAAAUUUACAGGACUACUGAGCAUUUAUUGUUUGUGGGAAGUCUUUCACUUGUUCAUUAAAAUUAAAUACUUCUCUUCCAGAGACUCCCAGCUGGAAACAUUUGUAUUAAGAGAUCUCAAGAUGUAGGUAGAAGGAACAGAUUCUUGUUCCUAACUGUGAGACUUGUGAUUUGCUUCAUCUGAAGGUACUUCUGUGUUCAUGCAGAUAAAUACAGAUCUCUGUUUUCCCCCCCUCACUGGCAAGAUAAACAUUUGUAAGCCUUGACAGCUUAGCUUGCUAGAUCCCGCUUGAGCAAUAAAAACUUUGUGUGGCACCUGAAACUUCAGAAGCUCUGCGCUGUGCAAAGCAGUCAUUUGCUUGGCGCAAGGGAGAGCUAUUUCAGUACUGUGUUAGUGGUUAUUUGUUUGUUUGCUUUGUGUUUGUUUGUCUUCCAAACAAGAACAAAUGUGAUCACAGUGGUAAAAGCGUAUCUAAGCUCCCAACUGUUGGCUCUGGUUUGGGAGCCCGAUGGUUAUUUGGUCCUUCUUUAUUGUGGACUGAGAUAAAUCAUUAGCUUGAACAUUACUUUCUGAAAUGACACUCUUUGUUCGGGACCUUUCUUGUCUAAAACAAGACUUCAAUCAUUGCUUGGAAUCUGAGCCAAAACUAUAGUCCAAUCUGAUGCUAACUGUAAGUGGACCUUUUCUUUACUGUUUCAGUACUUUCCCAUUUUUUUAAUGCCCUUAUAUCUCAGAUACAGUUGUAUUACGCACUUUGUCCUCCCUUACAUUUGCAUUUGGAAGACUUUUGCAACAUCAAGCAUCUGAAUCAGUUUGAUCAAGUAGAUAAUGUGCUCAGUUUUAACAGAUUACUCUGAAUGUCACCAGAAUUCACAACACUGAAUCUGCUUUGUCUGCUAAAACCACAGAUAGCAGUCAGUGCAGGUGUCUCUUGGUGCUGCUGCUUUGUCAGGCUACUUGACUAACAUAUGUUGGGGAAAAAAAAACUCUUCAGAGGAACAUUUGUUUUUCUUUCUGAUGUGGCAUUGGAUGGACGCUGAAUAUGCAGGCUUCCUUCAAUAUUUAUUAAGGAUCAUUUCUAUCAGUGUCUAAUUGAGGAAAGCAGAUUCCCACAGCAUCUCUUGAAGUCUAAAUAUUUUGCUGGACUUUGCUAAGAAUAUGUCAUCCUUCAUGAAAUUUUGUCCGUGUCAAAGUAACACGGGCCAUUCAGUUACUAGCUUCAGAUUCUACCCAUUGCAUUUAAUGACUGUUUGAAAUGAAGGAUAAUUGGUCUUUUUUCAGCCUGAUGUGUGAAUGCUUUCAUAUACUCAUCUAUUAAUUUUGUACACAUUUUUUUAAGAAUGAGUGUUUGGGCAAGGGAGGAGAAACCCAAAACACACAAAAGGUACUUUUUUUCCCUUUUCAUUUUCCCCUGACAUUUUCAAGAAUGUUCCUCUCUUAAUGUGAAGAUAUCAGACUUUUAUAAACACAUUGUUCCUGUGAGGCUUCAAAACUAAACAUCAUGUGCCUCCUCACCGAAGAAGUACUAAGUUAUUUGUCAUGGCUACCUAUGGAUAUCCAGCAUUUGUCUGCUAUUUCAAAAGGAUGCACGAACUGGAUUUGGACACCUGCCUAAUGGGAAGAACAGUGAUAUCCUCUCAAAUUUGCUGGUAAAUUAGUGCCCAGACUAUUCUUAUAACUCUGCUUAUAACUUGUUAUUCAUACUUCAGUUCAGAAUUUUAUGUGGUUCUAAUCUUCUCCAGUGUGGAGCUACUACUAUCGCAGAAGUAGGAACGUAUAAUUCUGGAGCAACAUAUUUAUUCCUAUCGUGCCAGGAAGAUCUUUUCUCAUAUAUCACAGAUACAAAAUGAGCAUAGAAGGACAAUAUGCCAUGCCUUCCUUACUGCUUAAUAUUUAGGAGCUCUAUGUUAGAAUAACUGCCACCCUAUUGAAAUAUAUUAUAAACUAUGCUAUUUGGGAAAGAACAAUAAUGUAACAGUAACUUAAAGUGUUGGUCUAACUAGGAUCACGGGGUGGAGGAAAAAUAACAUAGUUGGAAACUGCAAGGCAGUAAAGCUAGUGAAGUGAAAGAAACUGGGAAGCAAAAUAUAUUAGCUGUGAAGCUAUUAAAAAAAAAAAAGGUGGUUAAAAUAUGUUUGACGAAACAUUUACAUCCUAUUGACUCUUGCUCACUAUGAUAUAUUUUUCUUAUAACCAUAAAGGCUGAGAUACUGCUAAAAAGAUAAAUUGUUUCCUUUGGGCCCUUUAUAGAAAUCACGUCCUUCUGUGUGGUUGGCCAGUUCAGGUCAGAGAAGUGGGCAUUCUGUAGUGGAUGGUUUAGUUAACAGCAAACGUAACCUUAGCAAACCUCUGGAAUUUUGUGACUCCUGGAAAAACUGAUGUAUCGUGUUGCUUCAGUAACCAGAUAGUCUUCAUGGAUCCAAAAGUUAAACUUCCUGCUUUUACUCUGUGAUUGUGGUUCUACAAACAGUUCACAUAUCGUUCUCGAUGAAGUUGUUUUUAACCUCAGCAAAUGUAAGAGUAAAUUUCAGUUAGUAGUUUUAAGUCCUAAUAGAGGCCACAUUUCUUCAAGGCUUUGAAAUAGUUCAGUUAAUCUUUGAGAGGGAUGCCUUGCAAUCUCAUAGAUAUAUUCCAUCAGUAAAUUUCUUUAGAAAUAGAAAUAUUUGAUGGACCAUUCUUACAAGGACUCAUUUGCACAGGAAUAUAGAGAUCUCAUAGAUGAAAAGCACACCCAAGCUUUUAUGAAGUUGUUACUGGACUGAAAUAACUGGUCUCCUUUGUCAAAGGGACGUAGAAAAAUAAUAUCCCUAAAACUAGUAAUAAAACUUCAUGCAAAGCCUCUAGAGAAGGGAAAUAGCUGAAACCUCCCUGAAAAUCUGAGGAAUGUUUCUCAGCUUCUUUUUAGCAUCAGGAGUAAGGUCACUUUUGGUAUGAAAAAUUAUUCUGUCAUUAAUACCAGUCUCCGUUUGCAUGCUAAUGCAUUUCUCUAUAGCAAGGAAAUUGUGUGUAUUUUAGGUGCUAUUUAUGUACGGUUUGGCUUAUUUACGUUCAUAUUCAUUAACUUGUGUUAAAGAAACUGAAUACAAGACCUGGAGGAGCUUCAACUAUUCCCAUCUGUGUGUGCAUUGGAAUUUCUAAAAACUUGGCAUGGGAGGAUGCCCAACUGAAAACACAUUGCCAGUCCUCACCUCACACAGCAGGCUGAAGUAUAUGUAUGUUUACUCAUUAGAGAAGUUGAAAAGAAUGUGUUGCCUCAGAUGCUUCUUGGGGGAAGAAAAACCCAACAACUGAUAGUUCUGUUCUGGCUCUGAGUAUGUUGUGAUGAUUACAGCGUCUCAGCUAUCAGCUGAAAUAAUUUGUUUCUUUGUCAACAGUGAUUGCUGUUUCUUUUCUGACCACUUGUUGCAGGUACCCUUCUGUUCUGUGAACAGCUUUGCUCAUCCUCAGGAUUAAGUCAUCUUCUGGGCUCAGAAAUUCUUAACCUCCUGCUCCGUUUUACUGAUGAUCUAGCUUAAUAUCCUCUUGUGUACAUCACGUCUGGUAACUUGAUCCAAAUGAAGGACACCCUAUUCUGACCACAGUUUGUCUGGACAUCCUACACAGAACUCUUGGCAGAGUUAAAUUAUGCCUUUGCUCACCAAGUUGGAUUCAUUUAAGAUGAUUCAUCUUAAUGCCAAAAAUUUUGAAGCUUCGGGUGUCCUGGUCAGAGCCAUUCCUAUUUAACAUCUGGAACCAGUAGAAAAAUCAGCAUUUCCUCAAGGAAAGAAUUGUAGGUUUACGGAACAAGGCCAGGGAAAACCAGGUGCUUGUUAACUGUGUUGCACUGUCUUGUAAAUUAUGUUGCCUGAAAUAGCCAUGUAGCAGUGGUCUUCUAAUAGGGGUACUUGAACCAAAACAAAGGCAGUGAAGCACUCUGUGGCAAAGGUUUAAAGAUGAUAGUGUGGUUGGGAGGCUGGCGGUCACAUGUAGGUAUUGAAACAAGUCUUGUGAUUCUCAGUGUGUGAACAUUUCUUGUUGUAUACUGGGACUGUAUCAAAUGCUGUGUAGGAAAAAACCAUCGAUUUAUAACUUUUUUUUAAAAGGUUGUGUUUUUUUGAUGCCUGGAGUUGAAUCUGAUAGCUUUUGUCCUUUCAUGUCUAACUUUUGAAUGUGAACGGUCAUACUUAGCUUGAACACUGAGAUUUUGCCUAAGGAGUCUGAAUGGGCUAGGAUUUUGUUUGAUUUUGGCAUUUCUGCCUCAUGUUAGUUCCGUAUCGGAGGAGUACCAAACUGAAUUUUCUCCUGGAGAGUGAAGGGACUACUCAAACUAAAGGUAUGGGAUUCUGACUGAGGAUAUGAAACAGUGUUGCCAAAAGAUAAGAGGUAGCAAACUCUGCAUUAAAAAAUAAAGCUUCUCUGAUGUAUGGUACUGAAAAUGUGGAUGUAGUUUCAGAUGUCGUAAGUAGGAGUAAGAAAUGGCUAAGCAAGUGAUAACACCUUAGGGUAGAUGAAAGCUGUUUUAUUCUACUCCUGGUUUUGUUUUACAAAAAGGUUCUGGUGGAAGCAGCAACAUAAUCUUGACUAAAGUCUAGUUGGAGGCCAGUAAUGAGUGGAGUACUCCAGGGGUCCAUACUGGAUCUAGUUCUGUUUAACAGCUUUAUCAGUGCUCUAGGUGAUGGGGCAGAAUGCACUUUCAAUAAAUCUACGGAUGACAUGAGAUUAAAGGGAGUGGCCAUCACACCACUGAGCUAAGCAGUCAUCCAGAGGGACCAGGACAGGCUGGAGAGGUGGGCUGACAGGGAUCUCAUGGAGUUCAACAAGGGGAGGUGAAGAGUCCUGCCAACAGGGAGGAACAACCCCAGGCACCAGCACAUACUGGGGUAGCUGCUUCCAUCUGGGAAGCAGCUCAGCAGAAAAGGCCCUGGGAGGGUCCUGGUAGACACAGAGAUGAACUCUAGUCAGUACUGUGCCCUUGCAGCAAAGAAAGCUAAUGGUAUUCUUGGCUGCAUUGGGCAAAGUAUCACCAGCAGGUCAAGAGAAGUGAUUCUUUUCCCCUCUACUCACUGUUGGUGUGGCCACAUCUGGAGCAUUGUGUCCAGUUCCAGGUCCUGCAGUACUAAAUAGACAUGGACAUACUGGGGAGAAUCCAAUGAAGGGUCACAAAGGGAACUCAUCACUCUCCUCUCCUCUGAGGAGAGACUGAGAGAGCAAGACUGUUUAGCCAGGCAAAGAGACUCAGGGGGACCUCCUCAUUGUGUAUGAAUCCUUGAAGGGAUAGAGGGUAGAGAGGAUUUUUUUGGUGGUGCCCAUUGCCACAGCAAGAGGCAGUGGGCACAAACUGGAACGCAGGAGGCUCACUCUGCGCAUCAUGAAGCUCUUCUUUAACAUGUGGGUGACAGAGCACUUGCACAGGUUGCCCAGAGAGGCUGUGGAACCUUCUCCAUGGAGAUCUUCAAAAACCUCCUCGACACGGUUCUGGGCAAGCGGCUCUGGAUGUUCCUGCAUAAGCAAGGAUUGAGCCACAUGGACCCAGAGGGCCCUGCCAGCCUAAAACCAUUCUGUGAAAGUCAUAUCAGUGAUCUAAUAAAAGGAACAUGAGCAAUUCUAGAUAAAUGAAAAUCUAGAAUUGCUGAAAGAUUGGUACCUUAUUGAAGUAAUAGCUUGUGAUGAUGAAUAAUUUAGAGUUUGUACACCCUGAAGGAUCCUUAUGCACUGGGCUAUCCUUGAAACAAUGUCUCUCUAUGUCAAGAUUGUUAAUUUUUUUUUUUACUGUAGGCCACAAUUGCUUUUUAUAUGUAUUGAUUGGAGCUUACGACUGUAGAUACAUACAACUGCAGUGUCAGAAGCUUGCCUGUCCUUAUAGAUAGUCUGUUAGAAAGUUGGGAAGCAUCAUCACUAUCAAGUAUUUUAAAUGCUAAGGUCAUAACAGCAGUAUUUGCCAAGAACCACAUCCUGAGUAUUUGAUUCAGCUGGGCAAAUGCACUUCAGCUAUGGAAAAAGACUUGCAUGAGCAAAAAAGGAAGUAAUCCUGUUGCUGUGUACUUGGAAUGUGAUCGAAGGUACUUUCCAUUGUUCACAGAACAUCACUGGUUCAGUAUAACGUGCUACAAAUUCUUUAUGAAGAUCAGCUGAUAGAGUAAAAGUUGAGACUGAAAUUUUGGAUGUUUCACUGAAUUUUACAUUGGAAACAGUACAGUUCAGAGCUUAAUUCCUAUUUCUUCCAUUGAAAAAGUUACGUAGGACAUGCUUGAUACAUUCUUUAAUCUAACACAGCGCUGAAAUGUACAAGUCAGCCCAGUGAAGUCUUAUUUGUCUGCUUUCUCGUGGCAACAAUGCCUCUUUUCAUUCCCUUAGUUUUACCAUUACCCUGACACACUUUGGAUAGCACUAGUAACCAAAAUGCCAACGAUACCACUGGAUGAUGGAAAGACUGUGGGUUUGAAGACCUGUAUGCCUUUGUCCUCUUUCUCUAUUCUGUGAUCCAAACUUGUUUUGCUGGGCACUGUAUUUCCUGUGCCACAUGGACAAUAUUGAAUCCUAUCCCUCUUAAGUUCAGCUCCUGAAAAUAUCUUGCCUUUCCUUAUUCUUACAUCAAUCUUUCACUUUCUGAAUGUGGGAUGAAGCUGUCCUCACUGCCUGCUUGUUGUUUUCAUGAGUGUGCUAGCCAGCCUGAAAUGAUAUACUUCAUAUUACAUGCUUGCUGCCAAAUUUUAGUCAUCUGUAUUGCUCAAGCUGCAAACCUCCAAAGCAAACACAGAGAGGAAAUCAAAAUUAAAUUAAUCCUCUCCAAGGAUGUAUAAAGUAUAGUUGCACUGAGGUUUACAAGUUGAGGGUGAGAGGGACCGUUGGUAGUGUGUGUUAGAAGCCACUGGUAUGCACAGCCCUGUUCUAUUACAAUGCUUCUCUGGACUGGAAUUGCUGAGCUUGAAGACCUUAAGGUUUUUUUUUCAUGAUAGACAUGUAUGACUUUUCAAAAGCUUGGCUGGCUACAGAACCAUAGAGCAUUCUUGGCAGUUUGUGUUCACAGAAUUAAAGACAAAUGAGUUACCAUUUUCUCUUGAGCCCCAGAGCAGUGUUUUCGUGUAAUUUUUAGUCAAAGCAUCUUAGCUGAGGCUGAACAAAGUUCUGGAGUCUUCACUUUUGAAGAUGGUACCAAGGUAAGGUGGGAGACCUGCUUCUUACUGUUCUUGGUUGAGAGUUCAGGUUUAGGGACAGCAUUUAGUUUUAUUGUACUGCCACUGUCUCUAACACUAAGUUUGGGCCUGACCAGAAGAGGAAGUCAGUGUCUCCUUUCAUGCCGGUGCAGAGACUGCUUGCAUGAAAGUCCUGACAUGAAAGGAAACAGAGGCAUGAAGUAGUAGCUUGUGACUUUCUUGAAAUACACAGGCCAUCCCUAGCCUGUAAUGUGGAAUGUGGAAGACAUAAGGGAAAGAGGUGAGUGUCUGCUUGCAAGAGAAAAAAACUAAAUGGAAUUGCAUGACGUAAUUUUGUGCAGUUGCAGUUUUCAUAAUCUCACUUGAAAUGAAUUGAUAUUCCAUACUGCAUAUGUUUCAGAAAAAAUAUGCCUUAAGUUAAUAGCAGUCAGGAUGUAAGUGCUUUUUAAUCUGUUUCCACAAGCAGAAAGAUAGACUUGAUUGCUGAAGUGACCAUUGUAGCUAUUCUUCCACCAAAUAGCACAGGAAAAAGGAAUAAAAACCUUGCCUGUCUUUUUUCUUAACUCUUGUGGGCUUCAUGAUUGUAAUCCUAUUAUAGAAUGUCAUAGUGAGCACCAUGAUUUAUUUACCUGCUGCAUACUCUGAAGUUCAUUAAAUUAUUAGAAGUGGUUAAACUGUCUUGGACAAUUUAAAUGUCUGGUUAAAUCGCUUUGAGGAGCAAAGCCCUAACUGAGUAGCUUGAUCUGAGUUGUUCCGGGGGAAAUGCUUUGAAAACGAGCAUGCCUGGAGUAAAUGAGUUCAGAGGUUGUAAACGUUCCUUAUUUAUUCUUCUGCUACAGAGAAUAGUAUCUGAUUGCAGUCUUGCAAUAUCAGAGAUGAGUCUUGUGGAGAAGUAAACUUUUCAGAAGAGCUCCUGUGGUGGGAAGUUACCAGUCUGUUGUCCCUUUGCAAUUUGUCCCAUCUUCUGUAAGCUUAAUCUUCGUACAAGAACUACGUGAUUAACUUCUACUGGUAGGCAAGCAAUUGUCCAUGUCUUCCCUGCUAAAUGUGUCAAUUUAGGUUACUGGUGAAACUCAGACACCAUUAAUCAAGGAUCUCAUGUAGGCCUAGAAGGGAGAAUGUAAGAGUUAUUGUCUGUAUUUCUUGAUGACUGUACAAGAAAUCACUGCUUGCCAAAACAGUUAACAGAGUAGAAGUAAUGUACUGUGAAUGUCAAGUUGUUGAUCUGUAGACCUCAACAUUUUUCCAUGGCAUGCAGAGUCCAGCUGUGUAUUUAAGCUUGCUGAUAAUAGGCUGACUUUUUUUUCACAUUAUUGAAAGUCCUAAGCCCUGGCGUUUCAAAAGUAGGAGGAAACUUCUGGUGUAAUGAGAUGCCUUCUGAAAAGGGAGAUUGUUUUGAUGAGAAUCAGGUAACUUGCUUAUCUUAGAACCCAUCUAUGGAAGUUGUCAUUUAUCAUUUCAGUCCCUUUUUGCAGUGGGGAAAAAAAAACAGGAUGGUUGCCUGCCAUCAAAGCAAUUUUAUUUUUCUUACCUAUUUUUUUAUUGCUUUUCUUGUUUGUUUUCUAUUCUUGUUUUAAAAUUGUAGAUAUUAAGCUAUAAUUUUAAUGUCAUAUUGAAUUGUUUUAUCCUGUGUGUAAUGAACUUAUUUCUAAUUUGAGUAAAUGUGUAUUAAAAAUAUCUCAGUUUGAUGUUCAAAGGCUUUGGCAUAACCUUAAGGUUCUGACUUAAACUAUAAUAUUUAGCAAAAGCUUGGAGCACAAGAAGAUCUUUGAGUAUAUGGUCUAAUUGAUCAUUUAGCUGUGUCACAGAGGAGAAAAUAUACUAUCAAGGGUGACACGUCAUGGAGCAAUACUUAAACAUGGUCAGUAGGUUUGGCAAAGUUGCUUUAGGAACUGCCUGAUCCUAAGAAUAUAGCUUCGAAGUUCUGUAAACUAAACAGCAAAAUUGUUACAUGUUCACUAAGAAUUUAAGAUGAAAAACAUCACGCCCAUGGGGAAUACUUGCUCUUCCCCCCCCCCCCAUUUUCUUGUACUUCUCAUAGUGUAGAUAGGAGUUUCUGCCAAGCCAGAUUGGGUUAUGGAAGUCAAAUUCACAUCACCGUAAGAGGAAUCAUGUAGCUUUAAGUAGCUUAGUUUUCAUAAGUAAUUAAUUUAAUUCAAAUCUAGUUGGUCAUGAUUAAGAUUUUCACUCGUGACAGUUGUGGUUUAUUGAAAUAUCUGAAAAAAUGGAAAAUAAUUUUAUUUGCUUUGAAUUCUAAGUUAUAUAUGGUGUGUGUGUGUGUAUAUAUAUGCACACGUACAAGUGUUUCUCCAUCCUAUAGGUAUAUGAAUAAAAUAUGUGCAUGACUGGAAGCUCUUUAGUCCUACGAGGCAUUUUAGCAAAUAUCUCUUUUAGACAGUUGUAGCAAGACCAUUAUACUACAGAAAGUGAAUGUUUUCCUUUACUACCUUUAGCAGAAAACAAUUCUGAGACAUUAUUUUUGUUAUGAUUUUUUCACAAAAGUAGAUUUUCAUACUUAGCUAAUGUUAUAUUAGGUCAGGCAGCAUGACUUGAAAAGUAGUUUUUUGAGUCUUCAGAUUUCAAAUAUUUUUUUCCCAUCCACCUUCCACUUUUGUACUGCACACACAGAACCGUGGUGAGAAAAUUGUUAACGGUAUUGAAUUGCCUUACUUUUCCCUCUUUUCCUCCCUGUUUUAUUUUAGAGGCCAACUUAAUUCUCCAUCUAGGUAGACUUGAUGAAUGGAAUUGCUCCAAGUCUUUUGAGUGAAAACAAGGCAGGAAUAGAUGGGAGGGUUGAAAAUCUGCCAAAACAAACUUGAGUGGAAUAGCUUAGUCCAUCCAGUGUUGCACUUUGUAACACCAUGGGGCUUUUUAAAGGUAUUUCCGUUUUCAGAUAUAUGUGGUCCAUCGGGUGUCACAAGAGGCAAGUACCUUUGUAAUGAAUGAAUUCCACAUCCUGAAGCACUUAGGUGCAUCUUGGUAAGGAAGACGGGACUGAUCUAGGCACAGCUAUACAGUUGGAUGCUACAGCACCUUUCAUGUAUUUAAGGUAAAAAAAUGCUGCAUAGGUGGCAACAACCACCGCUGGGUCUUAAGAAAAGCAAGUGUAAGUGAAGUUCUUUCACAUUGGCCUUUAAAUGCCUUCCUUCAGUUUGCAAAGUGCUUAGAUAAAAUAUACAACCUUUUCUUAAGAUUGAAUUUCAGUACUUUGGAUUUCAAGCUGUAUGCUUACUUUUAAAAAGCAUCUUUGUAGAUGAUUUGAGGACUUAUGAGUGUAUCUUAUUAGAAGCGUAAUGAUUAGAGUAAAUUCAAGGGAAAAUAAGAAUGAACAGAAGUCCAGAAAGUUUGAGGCUACUGAAAUUCCUACAUCUAUUUAGCCUGUUAAAUUAGGGAAGAGGAAACACAUGGAUAUUUGAAUACAGAAAAACUUAUUGCAAAGAAGGAAGGAUUAAGGUCUAUUUGUGCUUGCUAUCGAUAAGAAAAUUAGAUCUGAAAGAGGGAAUUAAACUUAUUUAUAUUAGUCUGAUACUGGAUCAAACUUUUUUUCUGUGUUGAACGAGAUUGUGGUAGGGUUAGAGGUCUCUGCUGGAGAUGUGAAGGAAAGGUUGACCUAGAUUUUUUUGAGACUUACACUCUUGUAGCUAAUACUGCUGUGAAGUAGAUGAUGAAAGGGAGGCUAUUGCUGACCUGUGCAUCUCCACCUCUUUUUCUGCCAUCCUGUCAGGUUUGUUACUUACUGUAGUGCUGUUUGUAAUCUGUGAAUUGAACAUGAUGCUGCAUUAGGAAGUGUUCGUGUGUUUUCUCUGAAAAGAAAGCUGGACAUGUAUAUGAGAAUGGAAGGAAAAUGGGAAUAAAAGGUGAAGUGAUAAGAUUUAUUUCCUGGUCAGGAAGAGUGGGAUAGGAUAGAAAACCUCCAAAAUCUGUGGUGAGGUUUCUUAGUGUCUCAUGUUUGUAAAUGGCUUUGGAACCCACUGGCCAGCUCUGAUUCAUUGGCUGCACUUCUUCAUGGUGUACAAUGACUGCUGUUCUUGAAUUCUCUCCUUGAACAGCAGAGAUUUGUGUGGUGAAUCAGGAGGUGAUCAACAGUUUUUGAAACAGGCGGGUUUUAAUACAAAGCUGCAAUGUAAAAUUCUAUUUUAGGUUGGAUUAAACAAUAGAUUUAGACGUUAUAUACCACAGCUUCAAAUAACAGUCAUGGCUUUGAACUUAAGCACUCAAAAAUUAGAAAAUUCUGUGAACUUUAACUUAGUUUUGUCAUACCCUCAUAUUCUAACAGUCUGCACUGCAGAGCUUUCCUGCCUCCAUUGGUAUAGAGAUUGCUAUUUGAUCAAGUUCCUGCUUUAUUGUAUUUUUUUGCAGUCAUCUUAACCAUGUUACCAGUACUUCAGGUGUAGUCCUUACAGUAUAUUUUGGAUAGAGUGGUAUUUGCCUUUCUGAUGCAUCAAGAAAACUUUGUUCAAAUCAAAAGCAAUGACAAACUUUAAGUGCUCAUGUAUAGAAUUGCAGGGCUUACUUUUUCAAAGAAAAGCACUUUGUUGAAGCACAGAUCCACUGACCUACGUUUAGCAUUGUGUCUGGAAAUCAGACUGUACGUUAGGCACCCAGAAAAUGGGAAACUGACUACUAAGUCAUUUGGGAAUUGUUAAAUGUCUAAAGAUUUAACUCACACUCCCCACAUGUACAGAGUGGCUGUCCACAGCUCUGUGGACUUUUCUGGGGAUAGCUGGGCUCUUGUUUUUGUAAUGAACACCACCACAGAGGUAAACUCCUUUUGUGGAUUUUGCAGAGAAUGAAGUCUGUUAAUAACCUCAUUGCGUGGUUCUCUUUGAGCAGUGUGCCUCGUGGUUGUCGUGUGUGGACUUCCCUCCUGAGUGAAGGAGAGUGCAAGAAAAUGAUUUUGUCUUGUGAAUAAGUACUGCCACACAGGAGAAAAAGAGACAAACUAAUAGCACACUGACAUUUGUUUUCUAAUUCUCAAGUGCUUGACUUUAUGACCUUGCUAUUAUUUCUAAAUGUAGAAAAGAAAAAGUCUAUGAUCCCACUAUUGCUCAGUCCUUUCAGCUGAAUAGCAGGGAUAAACCCACACUUCUGGCAUCUGAAUUUGACUCUCAGCUUUUCUAAUGUGAAUUAAUAUUGCCUGAUUUCUGCAUCAAUUCUUGGUUUUCAAUGUUGUAAGAUUAGAUUUUUGAAAUAACUUUGUGUUUGUGUGUAUAUCUAUGUUGUCUUAAAUGCCACAUCUAAGGAUUUCUUUUUGCUACUUGAACCUGUGUUUCUAGUGUAAAUCAUAAAUUCCUGAGUGACCAUGAGAUGCUAGUGUGUGUGAAUACAUUCCUAUGCUGUUGUGUGCAAGCAGCAAAAAGCGUAUGUAAACUUCACAGCCAUCUUCCCUUCCAGAUGUAGCUAUCAUUCUCAUAAACCUAGGAUCCCAUUUACUGUGAUCUCUCUGGGUAAGAGAAGGGAGUGAGGUUGUAGUUUGUCUUUCUGCUGAAUGGAGGCCAAGCAGUGACUAAUGAAUAUAGCAGAUGUUUCUACUUUCGAAGGCUUUUUUAUUUUUUGGAAAGAACUUUAUUAAUCAAUCUAUCCUUCCUCCCUGGAGAUACUGGGACAGCAGUGUAGCUGAGAUCUAACAACUCAUUGCAUAAGAGAAAAGAGUACUGAUGUUGACCCUUGCUAUGUUGACAGGAAGAUUUGAAUCUAACCUGCUCUUUUUGCUCAAACACAUCCAAGUGGAAUUGUCUUUAAAUCUUUCAGCUACUGUGCUAUGUUGUGAUGUCAGCCACAUUGUAAGUAAGCAAUUUGGGAUGUAAGAAGUCAAAAGCUUUUCACUUGCACUUGUGUGUAAAUCCAGGGUUACUCCGCCGAUGUAAUAGCGUUACUUCAGGUAUUCAUUCAUCUUACUGUGAGAUUGUAACAUGACCUCUAGUCUUGAUCAGCAAACAACCUGUGUUUCAUUUGGUUUGCCAUUAGGAUAGCGGGACUGCGGAGCUGGAAAGUUGUGCAUGUUCCUUCUGCCCACUUUGUUGAUGAGCUUUCAAAGGCAUUCAGCUGGAGCUAAUUAAGUUAAGCGUGAGAGAUGACUGCUGUCUUGAAGUUUUGUACUUCUGAGUGCAAGGAGCUUCUUGCAGGCAGCCUCAGUUCUGGAGUUGUUUUUUUUUUAGUGGACAUUCUGCUACCUUCUCUUCCUGGCAAGGAGGUAAAGCUAGCAGCUGUGAGAACCUUUGUGAGAUAGUCAAGAGGAGAUGUUUGCGGUUGUGUUAGUCGUCUUCAGUAGUCAUGUAAUCAUGUGAGAAGAUCAUCAAAUAGAGAAUACAAAUGCAGAUGUCCUUAAAGUUUUCAUUCUUUUCAGCUCUUACCCAGGGACGUCCUCUCUGAGUGAAAGGAAGCUUUUCUCUUUGGUACAGAGUCUUGCUGGGCUAGGUGAGUGUGUAGCAGCUUCUGUAGACAGAGCAGGAUGCUCCUGCCUUAUGCUGACAUGUGCACCCAUUCCUCUAGUGCCCAGCACUGAGCUCUAACUCCAUUUGCUUCAGUUCCCUCAUCCUGCACCUAAGAGGCAAGAAUGCAAGGAUAUUUCACGCACCGCAUGCUGAUGGUCUGUGUGCAUCGAGAACGUAUGACCUUACAAAUUGAUUUCCUUUGAUCAUACACUGUCUCAUUGUUUGUGAAAUAUAUUUAAUUACAAGGGGCAAAGUCCAGAAUGAUGUAAUCGUCAUGGCACCAUUAAUCAGUACAGCCAGUGUGCUUUUCCAGAUGGAAUAUGGUGUGUAUAUAGAAUAUACAAUAAGUUAUGCACAAAAUCAAACAUCUAAAUGAGCAGCUUCAUUUAAGGCAUGCUUCCAGAAAUAAAUUUAAAAGAACCUCCUUGAUAAGCAGGUAGUUGCAUCAUUUCUGCUGAUUGCUUGCAGAUUUCUGCUGAGGCGAGAAGACUUUACCAAGGCAGAUUCACAAACCAGUUCUGUCUUGAGCCACCCAGUUACUGUGAGAACAGUAUGCUUGGAAACCCCGUGUCUGUGCAUGUGAACAUUACAGUGUAACUAGCUUGCUCCUUUUACCUUUAAGGUCAGAAAAUUGUAAACUUAAAGGUCAGUAACUUUUUAGUGCUGAUUUCUCAGAGUCAGUAAAUCCCAUGAUGAGAUUUCAUAUAGGAAUAUGAGAUGAAUAUAGGAAUUAAAUGUGGGAGUGAGUUAUGCUUAACUUUCUUUCAGUCCACAGAAUUUAAGCAGCAGGCUUAAAGUACUGCUUUGGAGGGAAAAGCAGCUCCUUAUGGGAAGCUAAAUCAGAUUUAGGCCAUAUAAUCUUUCUGUAUCUCUAUGAAGUGGUGUGAAUUUCAAGUCAGUUGGAAAAAGCUCUAGAAAUUCAUUCUAAACAGCAAGUGUUGCUUUGCUUUUCAUACCAAAGAUGUGUUUUCCUGUAAUGAUUUGUGUGUGUACGGACUACUGUCAAACACACAGGCCUGAGCCCUUUCUAGCAUGAAGUUCAGAAGUUUCCAAUGCACAUCUCUGUUCUCCUGUGCUAUGUGGGAGCUGCUGAUGGAGCGGUGCUGGUGUGUGCCUCGCUCUGGAUGUGCAUGGGCAGAGACAGUCCUUUUAUUCUGAUUCUGUGGCAGGAGAGGGAAGAACAGAACCAGGUCUGGCAAAACCCUUUCAGUCUGUGGCCGUAAUCAGUAGAGGCUGUUUCAGUUAAACGCCUGGUGACAAAGGAUUGUGUGUGCAAUUGGACAGUAAAGGUGGAAUUUCUGUCUUAAAGCUUUGCUUUAUUCUUGAGCAUGGUGGCUGCUUAGAGGUGGUCCAGCAGUAAGAUUUAACUGUGUUGCUUCUUUAUUCUUGUUCCUACUUUGCAGUGAAUGUUUAUAUAUUUUGCGAAACGAUGAUUCUGAGCACCUCCAGUCCAAUCUGGGCCUUAUUUUAUGAGCUAGUAUAUGUGUGGGGCACAUAGCGAUAACCAUAAAGAGCUUUUGAGUUGCUGCUGUUCUUGUGUGGCUUUGGUUUGUUUUGUGUGACUUAAGCUAGGGAAAGAGGCUCUCGAUACUGUAUUAAUGUUUCACUUGUCUUCUUGUUAGAUGUUUUCAUGAGGUUGUAAGCAUACUGCAAGACAAGAAGAAGCUUAAAGAUGAGUUCUGAAAUUGUUUAGCUGAGCUUGGAAUAUCCUUCUUGGAGCAAGACGGGGAAGGAAAAACUAGUGGAAAAAAGGCAGCAACUGAAGGGGGGAAAAAGCUGGAUGGGUUUUACAACCAUAAAUGGUAAAAGUAACCUUGCUCUGCUGCCAGCAAGCAGAACGAUGGAAUAAGGUUUUGAUUUACAGGAACAGCUCAGCAAGGGCCUUGUAGAGUGCUUCAUGCCUGCUAUAAAAAUGUGAUUAGCUAUAAAAUGGGAGAGAUUUAACAAGAGAAUUUAAGCAUCGGCAACAGUGCUGUUUCAUGCAGAUUGCGGAUGCCUGCUUUUAGAGUUCUGGGAACACAGGCUAGUUAGAAAACUUCAUGUUUUCCAAAGAGAGAAUGUGGAUUUUUUUUUAAAAUUUAUUCCCUGACUAUGUUAAAUCUUGUUUCCUUGCCCAUUCAUUGUGAGUUCCUUAAAAAUUAAGCACCAUUUAUCCUUGUAAUUAUGUCUUCAGAUUACCAUCUCCCAGGAGGCGGGCUUACAGUAAGUUGCGUGAGGACAUGUGGGUAGGUAUGGGAUGCGUCCCUUACAUGCCAAUAUUCUCUUGUAUUGUCAUAUCAGCUGAAGGGUCUCUCCCUGCUUGUAUAUUACAGCUUUUGCCAAGAAGGUAAAGGUAAGUUUAUCAGCUGUAAAUUCAUGUGAUCGGUUGACCACUUAAAGCUUCACAGUUGCAGAGGGCAAAAGCCUCUGCCCACUUGACAAUCUGCAGUGAAGGAGGCUCUGUGCUUUUCUUAAUAGAAAGCUGAUGGGUAAAUGACUUUUAUCCAAAUGAUGCUGGCAGGCAAGAGAGAAGGAGCAGGAAGUAUUUUUGGAUGCCCCUUGUGGUUCCUUAUGGGGACUCCACUGGACAUGAGGAGGGAGAAAGGAAAUUUGUAUUCAUGUAAAAAGUGAACUAUCACGUUGAUUUUGAACUACUAGCUGUCCUUGUUAAAAGUGGAGGCCAAAUGUUUCCUUUAAGGCAGUCACUACAUGUAUUCAAAUACAAGAGAAGAGGCUGCAGUUGCAUACCACUAUAUGACCUGAACCAAAACAUAAUUAUCCAUUGCUCUUAAACCAAGUUAAUCUGCCUUCAUCUUGUUUUCUUUGCAUCUCCUUAACAUUAUUCCUCUUUCACAUAGUUUAGAAGCAAUUGUUUAAAGACUGGACACAUACCUGAGAGCAUGCAAGAAUCAGAGUUAAAUUAUUAAUGCUAGUUACUUUAUAUUAAAUUGAGAAUCAACUCAAGCAUGGUGUAGACAUCGAUGUAGUAGAAUGUUUAUGUGCAUAUAAACCUGUAGUUAUCUUAAGAUACCAAUUUUGUUUCUUUUUUAAUCAAAUGGAAACUUUCUUUGCUAGUAAGAAAAAGUUUUUUUCUUGAUUGUUUUUCUGUGCUUAUAUCUGUCAAAAUUACGCAGCUGAACUACUGAGUAUAUAAUACACCAUGCGUAAAUUCAAAAUCACAGUAUCUUUUAAGUGCCUAUUGCUGAAAGCUGAGAAAUGCACUAAUAUUUUAUACUUAAAUGUAUAUUUUGUGCAACAGUGGAUACGGCUCUGCCAGUAUUUCAGCACUGAACUCUUAAUAAUGCAGUAUUGAACCUUUGCAUGGUGUUGGAACUGUGUUCCAAAUCGUUUGGAGAAUACUAUCCUCAAGAAAUGAGGGAUAAAAGCUAAGUCAAGAGUGUAUGGUGUGUGUGUGUGAAAAUUCUACAUUUAAUUUUGCCUCUUAAUGGGGAACUGCCUUGAGAAGGAUAGUCCUGUUGUCCCAAUGAGUUGCACAAAGUGGCUCCUCACUAUCUGGUAGGUGUGAGUUAUGCAACUGUGAAUGUAAUCAUCUGUGUUCUUGUUCUGGUCUCUCAUUUCCUGGUUGCAAUGUGCAAGUCUUUUCCCCAAAGUUAAGAAGUGUAUCUAGUUACUUUUACAUUUUUUUAUAGACGAGAAAUGAAAAACUGCUAAGCAAUUCAGAGCCUGGCACCUGCACUUCAGAUUUGUUAUUGCUCUGUGUUAGCUUUGUUCACUUCAGUCUCCUGGACUGACUGAAACACACAGCUGUACGUACUAUAAUUUUUUUCUGUAGUGUUCAUGGUGUAGGGCCUAAAGAUGGCUUGCCUCUGCAGGGUUUUUGUAUCACCUCUGUGGUAUCUUUGUAAGUAAACGGUUUCCCAUGAUCUUCAUUUAAAUGAACUGCAACUGCAAUCAUUGGUAUUGGAGCUGACUCUUGCAGUGUUACUGAUUAAGCCGUGCUAGCACUUUCUUAACUCUAGUGCAGAAUUUUCUUUCCUGCUCAAUAAAGUAGGAACUUUGCAAUAAUAAUUAUUAUUUGACCAACUCUAAGAUGGGUGCUGACUUGCAGAACAGGUGAUCCUGCAUGUACUGCUCAGCUGACUGUUGUCUUAUCAGGUCUAAAGCAUGACUUACUCUAUAAUCACUGAUGUUAGUGAUGAACUGAGCUUGUCUUAGCCUUUGCACCUUUAAAGGUAUUUUGACAAAUAUUUGGGGGCUAGUUUUUCAGCUGUAUGUCUUGAGUGUAAUGCUCCAACUAAUCUCUGUAGACGUGAAUCUCAGUAGAGAGAAUUGCUCAUUCAGGAAGUUUAGGAUUAUUCUACUGUAGUGAUAGUGUAGAUAACACUGACUUUUCCAUUGGACUGGGGCAAAACAAUUAAGUAGAUGUUUCUUACAUAAACAAAAAUAUGUUCAGGUUUGUUUUAGCAGUCCUUAGGAUUUAAUUUGUGAUGCUGUUUCACUGAUGCAAGCACUAAUCCUUGCAUUUUUAUGCUUUUAAGUAACCUGCAACGUAGUAGUACGAAAUAAAGUAAGGGACAAAAGUGGUAUUUGUAAGCUUUUAUUAUGAAUGCUCGAAUAUCAUGGUUUUAUCAGAACAGUGGAGAAUAUUAUUGCCACACUAAGAUAACACAGCAUAAAUAUCCUACGUUAGGGUUUAAUUGUGCUCUUUUUUCAUGAAUUUGCCUCACUUGUUUAUUAUCCAUGUAUUUAACACUAUGGAUUGAAUUUCUGCUUGGAACAUAAUUUGUUACAGUAUGAAGCAAUAUGCUAAAAUAUUUUAAACAUUUUUUGAGUGAUACAAUAUGCUUAAUAUGUUAUAUGAAUUGCUGAAGUGCAUUAAGGUCGUGGAUAAUUCUAAUCCAUCACUUCUCAUUUUUCUUGGCAGUUAAAAGAGAAAAUCUUUGCUAAGAAGGGAAGAGAGCUCAGUGCUUCCUUUGCUCCUUCUUAUCUGACAAAGACAGAAAAGACUCCACAGCAGUGGAAUCUUGAAUAGUUGCAACAUCUUAUUUGAAACACUAAACCUAUUGAGAGAAGCUGGACCUUAUUCAUAAUUACCAUAAAACCUAACCCAGGUUAUUCAGCUGUGUUGCUCUAAUGCAAUCCUUAAUUUCCCCCGUUAUUGGUUCCAUACUAUAUUGUAUCAGAACUUUUUCUGUGUAUUCUUAUUUUGAUCCCAUCAGGAUCUGAAUAAAGUGAGUUUGGCUUUGUUUUUUUAAUUAUUUUUUAUUUUUUACUUUCACGAAUUGAACCCUUACAGGGUCCCACUGGUAAAUAGCACUGAGUCAGUGCCUUGCUUACAACUAAAGAAUCAACCUUCUUUAGACCGUGAUCUUCACUUUCCUGCAUGAGUUUAUAAGAAAGUAGAAAAGGCAUUGGUAGCAACUUACUUGCAAGUGCAGGACUCUUGGCUCAUUGUGAAGUAUAGAAUUGCUGUUAUAGGUUUAAUCAAACCUGGCCAAUGAUGCGAGGGUCAGCUGUUGUGCAGGAGUGUACUGCUGUAUGGCUUUGUCACAGGGUGGCUUAUAGUCCAUCAGCACUCCUCUGUUCUCAAAGGUGUCUCUUUGGUAGUGUGUGCAUGAGUGCGCUGCUAUGGUGGUGCCACAAAACAUACAGUGGGGUGUCCACUGGCAAACCUGCUGUGUGUUUAGAAUUCAGGGGAAAGCAAAGGAGUGACGAUUGUCUUCAGGACUCGGACAAUAUGAAGCUGAAGAAGACAGAUCUAGUUCUGCUGAGCUCCAAAACUCUACAGAAUAUUUGUUACAGUACAGAGUGGAAGUGACUUGCUUGCAAUUCUCCCAAACUCCAGCUUUUAUCCUAACUCAGUUAGGAUGCAUCCUCUGGCUAGUAACUUACUGGAAUUAAUUGCAUUGGACCCUGCAUAGAGUACUUAGGGUGGGGAAGACUACUACUAACUGUGUAAAAGCUACUAACUGGUUCCAUGUGUUGAAUUUCUUCUUUUCAUUCACAUCACCACCAAGCACACCAUUGCUUUCAGGUAUUUAGUCUUGGCUCAAAGUAAGAGAAUGUAAUGUUCUUUUCUCUGUCUUCAUGUCUUUGCCCAUGUCUUUCUCUCCCUUGGAACUCAGAUGCCUACAGUACUUAGUUGUAUCCUUCUGGAUCUUUAACACUCCAAACUUCAUUUAUUCUCAUCUGCAUUCCAUUUUAUACCCAUAGAAAUUAAUUUAAUUUCCUGUGCAUACCUAUCUCCUCCCCCCCACUUUUUUUUUCCAAUCUAUAGCUUUGUGCUGUUUCUCAUUAUCCUUCGCUGUGAGGUUUUGUGAAUGUUUUCAAAGUUGAGGGGGCUUAAUCCCCUUAAGUGUUACUCCUCUCCCAAAAGUACAACCCUUCUUUGUCAGACAUUUAAACAGUUGUCUUUGAAUGUUAGAUCACAAUUAAUUUGUUCCCUUUGUACAGGAAUUGGUGAAACUGGGCAGAGCCAGACAUCACAGUGAAAAGAAUAUUGUAGUGUUACCAACAGCAGUUGUGUGGGAUUGUGGGGGGUACCUCUGGGGUAGGUUCUAUACAUAUAUCCUGUAUCCUCUUAACACAGGUUCUAUAGGAUAACUUUCUUUUGGUCUCUUCUCUUCAUUUUCAUAGGAGUAAGGCAUCUUCCACAAACUCAUACCACUUCCAUGGCCAGAGUAGCAAGUUAAAUGUUUGUAGCUGUUCUGCGUCCAGCAGUGAUGUGUCCUUGUGCCACCUGUGGGAUAGGCUGAUAUCUGGUGUCAGGAUGUUUGCUAUCUUGGGGAGCACUUGUUAGAGGUAUGAUUUUGAGAUCGUUCUACUUCUAGAAAGGAAGGUCAUCAGACACAAAUCUAGAUAAUGGUCUGCAGGGGAAGUACUAAGUCAUGGCUUGAACCAGUGAUUGAGCAGCUGGUAUGAAGGCAGCACCAACCCAGGGGGGCUCAGCUGCAUGCAGUGCACCUGAGUGACUGCAAGGGGUGGAUCCUGGCUCAUUCCCAGACCUCAUUUAAGAGUUGGCAGUGGAGGCAAAGGUAUUUUACUGGAGAUCCCUGCCUACCUGAGGCCUUCUGAAGGUAAGCAGCUUCUUUACUUCUGUGCUCACUGCUGUUGCAUUUAAGUAAAUCCUUGCUUUUGCAGCGGGGGAUCUUGCUGCUCUGCUGUCAUUGUUGCACUUUCCAUUACGUUACAUGGCUAUUUGGGAGUACAUCGAAGUCCAAGAAAACAGAGGGAGUACUAGAGUUCUGUUUUAAAAAGGCAUGGCUUUGAAUUCUUCCUCUGAAAGAAGCACUUCUGUGUCUUCACUUAAAUCUUUCUGAAUUUUCUAAUAAACGAAUUAGUUUUAUUAGUGUAAAGACUUUCAGAAGAUCAAAAUUUGUUUAUGAAUAGAUGAGCGAAGGAAAGCUGAAGGAUCUAAAGCUGACAACUGCCUAUGUUUUAUCUGUGAUCUUUCAAACAUUUCAGUCACCCUCUGAACUAGCUCCUUUUUCAGGCUGAGAUUGAAUUGAAUAAUUUGAUGGUGAAACAACUUCACCAAACCCAAAGUACUCCAGUUACAAGAAAAUAAAAAUGCAGUGUACUAAAAAUGCCUGUCUUUAUCAUGCUUAUGAGCAGCUGCUGCUGACAAGUUGUUCAUUUUUUGCACAAUAUCUACAGAGCAGUUUCCAGAAACCCACAGCAGAAACAGUCCUAAAAUACUGGGCUAUGUAACUGUCUGAGGGCAUAGACAGAAACCUGUACUGCUGUCCAUGGUUCAGUUUCAUUUCGGAGGGAGUAGAUGUGGCUGGAAGCACAAGGAGGUAAUUCCAAACGAGGCAUACCUAUAGUUUGAACUAAUAAUUUUGAUAAUAAAUAGUGACUUAGAGCCUCAUGUUCUACACUUCUGUUCUCUCUGGAGAUUUGGGCUGGUAGAGUCUCAUGACUGUGUUCUGCUUUGGGUCUUAAAUAGACAUAUGUGAUUUACAGACUGCAGCCAGAGUUUCAUGGCUGAAAAAGGUCUCUAGAAGUAGAAAAGAUGGCUCACUUGAAAUGCAUUUUAGUGUCUGAAGAGUUCACUGUGUACAGUGUCAUUCUUUGCAGAAUUAUUUUGCUGGAAGGCAAGUAUAGAAAUGUAAUUUGCGUGGGAACAGUAACUUCUGAGUUGUUGUCAGCUCCAGUUGCACAAUGCUGUUCUGACACCAUCCUUCAUGAAGCCCGUGCUUACUGUUUUAUCCUGAAAUCUUGUAGGAAAGCAAAAUCCGAUAUAAUCUUACAGAGAGUAUACCGCACUUGUUAGCGCAUAGACAUUACUCUUCCUACUGUUAACCUAAAAUAAUGUAUUCUCGUGUUCUGUAACCAUUGUGUAGCAAUCAGGAAAAAGCAGAUAACAAGUCGUCUGCUGUUUUGAUGGUAGUAUUGCCCAUAAAAUUGAGCUGACAGGAAAAUUAAUCUACUGCAUUUUCUGUUACUGCAUUUUUGUAGGUCACUGUCAAUUCUGGUAGUUAAGAGUAAAUUGUUAUCUCUAGAACUUCAACACAAGGGCUCAGUCCACCAGCUUGCCAUGAUGAUUUCUGAUGAAGGAAUUAUUUAAUUCUUUUUCCCUUGAUGAUUACUCCUAGAAGUGACAGUCCUGUCCAUCCUGGUUUUUUAUUUGUCUGAACACCCUAAGUUGUACGUGGAAUAUCUAAAAUCUUUUUUGUGAAGAUGGGAUUGUGCUCUUGGCUGACAUCUAGUUGAAAAGGGGAUAUGACUGUUUAUAAGGGUGGAUAGUGACAGGACAAGGGGGAAUGGUUAUAAACUGAGACAGGAGGUUUAGAAUUAGGUAUUAGGAGGAAGUUUUUCACGCAGAGGGUGGUGACACACUGGAAGAGGUUGCCAAAGGAGGCUGUGGAUGCCCCAUCCCUGGAGGCAUUCAAGGCCAGGCUGGAUGUGGCUCUGGGCAGCCUGGUCUGCUGGUUGGCGACCCUGCACAUAGCAGGGGGGUUGAAACUAGAUGGUCAUUGUGGUCCUUUUCAACCCAGGCCAUUCUAUGAUUUUGGUUACGUAGGCUGUUACAUGUAUUCGUUUCAAUGUCAUUUGGUUCAGUUAGGUUAGGAAAAUCAAAUUUCAGUCCUACCAAUAGUUAUAAAAGUAUUUAUUGUAUUCUGAUGAAAUGCUGAAGGAGAAGAGAGCUCUAUUUGAUGUAAUCUGGCAGUUUUCCUGGAGAGCUGCGUGUACUCUGUUUUUCUCCUGAUACUAAGUGAUCUAUAUUUUGUGGACCUCCAUGCUCAAUCAAGCGCACUUCCAUCCUUUGAGCCUCUCCUCUGAUACCUGUUGUCAAAGUUAUUCAACAUUUUCAGUAUGAAGACUACUGCCAGAAUUCUUUCCAAUUACUCUUAGUAUGUGCAUGCCUAUCUGCGUGGGCACAGAUUUGUGAACAGAGAUUUGGCUUAUUUUAAGAACUUUUGUCUGUAUGGUUGCUGGUUGGUGGUAGCUUAAAAAUGGCUUUGACAGAAGCAGAGGAGGAGAGCCUGCAUAAAACCAGCUCUAGUCUUUUCAUUUAGCAGAAUUCAGCUUUUAAGAGCAUUUAGGGCAAAGAUGGUUCUUGCAGAAGCAGCCUCUGAUUUGUGACACUAAAAGCAGUCUGAAAAUUGCUG
rnacentral:lncRNA from 1 species